AAAAAAUUAGAGUGUUCAAAGCAGGCAGAUCCAAUUUUCUGCCACCGAAUACAUUAGCAUGGGAUAAUGGAAUAGGACCCUGUCCUCCUAUUUUCAGUUGGUUUGCCGCGAGGACCAGGGUAAUGAUUAAUAGGGAUAGUUGGGGGCAUUAAUAUUUAAUUGUCAGAGGUGAAAUUCUUGGAUUUAUGAAAGAUUAACUUCUGCGAAAGCAUCUGCCAAGGAUGUUUUCAUUAAUCAAGAACGAAAGUUAGGGGAUCGAAGACAAUCAGAUACCGUCGUAUUCUUAACCAUAAACGAUGCCGACCAGGGAUUAGGAGACGUUGAAUACAAAACACCACCAU
rnacentral:rRNA from 1 species